UUGCCAGAACCAACAACCAUUUCUUGAUUCGAUACGAUUUAUGUUUACAACUCCACGGAACAGCAAGCAAUGGUAUAAAAUAGAGCAAAUAUCUAAGAUAUACUUAAUACCAAUUUGUGUGUUGAGGCGCAAUCAUGGCUAUGAUGAAGCAACUAUUCUACAUCGCACUCGUUGUGCUAAUUCUGGCUGUAUCGUUUUCGAUGGUUGAUGCAGAUACAUUCUUAACCAAGCGUCCCCCUGGAAUUUUGAGAAGCAUUCGUGAAGCUGCUGAAGCUAUGAAUUAUCCUAAGCACAGUUGAAGGAGAGACGAGAGAGAUAUGAAGAUAUGAACUACAAAAUGCCUCGACUCUGUUUAACUCUGCAAUGUAAUACACAAAGCAUGUGCAAACAAAACUAAAGAAAUACAUACCUUAUAAUCAAACAAGAAUAA